UGUGAUGAGGAAGGGGUCAUCUUUCAUAA
rnacentral:piRNA from 1 species